rnacentral:rRNA from 1 species
UACGGAGGGGGCGAGCGUUGUUCGGAAUCACUGGGCGUAAAGCGUACGUAGGCUGUCUUGUAAGUCAGGAGUGAAAUCCCAGGGCUUAACCCUGGAAUUGCUUUUGAGACUGCAGGACUGGAGUCCGGGAGAGGCUAGUGGAAUACCCAGUGUAGAGGUGAAAUUCGCAGAUAUUGGGUGGAACACCAGUGGCGAAGGCGACUAGCUGGACCGGUACUGACGCUGAGGUACGAAAGCGUGUGGAGCAAACAGG